rnacentral:lncRNA from 1 species
CCUUUGAUUUCUGUUAAUUAACUACUUUGGACUCUGGGGGUCUGGAGUGGCUUGUGUUUGACACACAAAGAAUCCGGGGCAAGGAUGAUACCCACAACAGGGUGUCUGCACUGGAAAGGGCUCCGUGUAUUUACCUGUAGGGCAAUUCAAUUAAAACUCAAGAAAGGGGUAAAUCUAUGAGAUUAGCUCCAGGAACAAUGGUGCUGAUUGUUGCUGGCCCUCACCAUCCCUACGAAAGCAGAUGUUAAACAAAUAUUUUGAUGCCUCCAAUCAGCCCCAGUGUGAAUCUCCUGUUUUUGUUUUUCAUUAUCUCCAGAGAUGGGAAUUCUACAGUCUUCAUCAGUAGCCCACUUUGGUGAUCUAUUUAAAAUUGGUGAUCUAUUUAAAAGACUCCAUAGAACUUGAUUGUAAAUAUCCAAAUGGAGGGACAUGAUUCAUUAAUAUAGGGACAUUCUGGAGUUGUCCAUUCGGCCUUUGCUCCUCCCCAUUCUCAGAAGCACCCUUCAUUACCGGAGAGGUUUCUUGGACGUUUGUGGCAGGCUCAGGAGGAAGAGAAGAGGUAGAGGGGGAAAAGUGUAUAGACUGGGGGCUGGGGGCAAUAUUGCUGGGAGGACCCUCAAAGGAAGCCACUGGAGUCUUCUAGAUGUUUGGAAGAGAGGAGUAGUUGAGCAGCUGCAGUGUGACACAAUGGAAAAGUAAUUUAAGAAGUGUCCUGGGCCACAUAUUCCCUUCAUGACACAGCAUUUGUCUCCUCCAGAGGAUACAGCACCAAGGCGCCAUCUUGGAAGUAGACUGGAGCUCUUAGCAGACCAGAACCUGUGGGCCUCCUAAGACGAUGUUGCUGGAUGUCCCCUGCUGACCCCACAGACUGGCUCCUCUGGUGUCCGCUGACUUGGCCUGGUGAGAAGGGCAGGGCCAGGCCCUUCCCUGUCUCGACCUGCAUUCCCACCCAACACAGCAA